UCUGUCUGGCGGCGGGAACCCCACUGCCCCGACCCUGAGGACGGCGGACAUGUCUGAGAGCGCGGAAGAUGGCGGCCCGGCCUGCGGAGGCCAGCAAGGAGUGGAAUUGCGGGGUUCUCAGGUAACUUUGUGUUCAACCUUUUGAAGAACCUCCUGGCUGCUCUCCAAAGCAACAGUGCUAUCCCACAGUCCCACCACCAACACGUGAGGGUCCCAGUUUGUCCACACCCUGCCACCACUGGUGACACCCGUUGUUCCCUGUCCGCCUGACUGUUGGAAACUUGCCCCUGCCAAAUGAUCCCCAGUUGUUAAUUUCUCCACUGCCACCUGAGCCCACAAGCCAGCCUGUACCAGGCGCAACACAGCUUUUCCUCAUCUCCUUCUGCAGAGUAGGCUGGCCUACACCAGCUGCUCACAAAUCCACUGCGAAGACUUUCCUGGGAGCACUCCUCUGCGUCCAUGCCAAGAAUCCCUUCUACAGCAGACCACACAGCUUGCAACCCAUGCUGGAUUCCAGGGUAAGUGUGCUAUUGCCUCUGUUAGGAGGCAGAGACUCAGGUUUUUCCAACCCUGGGUACAAAACCACCUCGGCACAGAGUCUGAAAAUCCUUUAAAGAAAUGUUUCCCAAGCUUUCACCAUGUCUCUUCUAAUCAAUGAUGUUCAACCCCAGUUUACAGAGCCGGAGAAGGAAGGGAAACCUCACGCUAACCCAUCCCUCAAGCCUUUCCUAGGCCUCCUCCCCAGAUUCUUCCUUCUUGCUCUACUCAGUGUUGCUGAGCAUUGUCCACCUAUGGAGUCGGAUCAUUCUUCUCCCUGGAGGGUGUCCUGUGUGUUGUGGGAUGGCUAGCAGUAUCCUUGUCCUCUGUUCACAAGAUGCCAGGAGUACCCACCCUCCUUUAUGACAAAAAUGCAUCCAGACUUUACCAGGUAUCUCCCAAGGCUGGGGGAGGGCUCCUGGGUUGAGAGCUAUUGUAGUACUAUGUAGUACCAUGUAGCAGGCAGAAUUCUAAGAUGGCUCUCAAGACUCCAGGUCCCCAGGCAUGGGACCUAUGGAGAUGAUAGGCUGUCUUCCCUGUGGUUAGAUCACACGGUAUGGCACAGAUGAAGGGAUUUUACAGAUCCAGUUAAGGGCCCUCAUCAGUUAUCUCUGAGUUAAUAAAAAGGAGGACUAUCCAGGUCUACAGGUGAGACAAGAAGCAGACACCUUCCUCUCGGCCUUGGAGAAGCAAACCGCAGUGAUAGAACCUGUGGCUGGGGGACUGAGGGCCUCGGUCCUCCAGCCACCAGGAACUGAACUCUGCUCACCCCCUGGGUGAACUUCAAGAUCCAGAAGGAUCAUGACAGUCAGCUUCUUACGAGAUCGCGAGCAGAGAACCCAACUCAGCCACGCCUGGAUUUCUGACCCUAGAAACUGUGAGAUGCUGUUUUAAACCAUUAGAUAUGUUACCUGGCAACAGAAAACUAACACAUACGAAGGAGCUCCAAAAUGCUCACGGGAAACCGGAAUUUAAAUGUCAGGCAAAAUUCCCCAGGACAUUUUUGAAGCCCCCUUGUAGUUCCAAGAUAAAUAUGACCAGCUCAUCAAUAGACAUAAGGAAAUAAAGAUGAGGACUGUCCAUGCUGGUUGAGCCUCCAGAAAAGUUUAUGAGAGAGAGAGAGAGAGAGAGAGAGAGAGAGAUGCUCAGGCUCCUUCCCCCGAGAUCAGAGAAUCUGACUUCAUUACUAGGGGAACGGAGCCCAGCUUUGGUAUUUUUUUUUAGUCUCCCAGGUGAUUGACAUGAUAGACUAUCUGUGACCAGUAGGAAUAUUCUUACUAAUACAGCCUGGCCAUUAUGCAAGCCUUGAAUAGUUCAAAAUAUACACAACAACAGUAACAACAACUAUAAAUGUGGGAGAGAAUUUGGAUAUUUGUUCAUUGAUAUUGGGCUAAAAAGAUGAGUCUGAGAUCACCAGGGCUCUCCCGGUUGCCAGAUAAGGAUAACACUUCCUGUGCACGGCCUCCCAGGGCAUUUCAGAUCGUCGGUCAUGUCCUGCUACUGGACAUGCUGCCUGCCUCAGUGUCGAUGACUCCGUGCCCUUCUCUGCCUCCAACGUCCCUGGCGACUCUUUUCCAACACUGACCCUCCCGAGAGGCCUCUCUUCCUCUCCUACCAUGCUCCAACGCUUGCUUCCUUUCUACUCUUUCUUUUGGCCAAGAGCAUACACACUGAUUGUGAGGAAAUCAAACAGAUUCUGAGGAUAUCCUUUGAUAUGUAUCACUGGCUCCCAAAUGCAAUCCACUAUAAGGUCUUUAUAACAUCAUCUCAUAAAAUAGCUAAAAACCUAUUUUUCCUCAUCCCUGCACCACCAAUUCACCACCACAUUUCCCUGGGAUAACUGCAGAAUUCUCAGUGGACACCCUGCUUGAAUUCUUGCCCUCUGCAAUCCUCUCUCCUGCAGCCAGGACGAUCAUCCCAAAAUGCACGCCUAUUCACAUUUAAAUUCCAGUUCCUUAUCAUGACUCAGGAAGGUUAUAUUUUCCAGAAACUACCACCAAGAAGAACUUUCAAACUGUAAUCACUAAAAGCAACAACAGCAACCCGCAUGGCUUCCUGGCAGAGUCUCUAUCCCCUUCUCUUGAAGUGGGAGGAACUCUGAGACUACAGCUAGUAACAGAACCUGGCAAAAGUGAUGACUCACCAUUUCCAGAGCUGAGCAUAAGAGGCAUUGUGCUUUCUGCUGAGUUCUUUCUCUCAAGGCAGGCCUUUGGGGCUCUGAAUCACUGCACAGUUGCCUUGCAGCCACCGUUGCUGGAUAGAGCACACAAAGAGGUCACACAGAGAGAAAAGGGAAUGCAAGAGGAGCCCGAGCCGAAUGCUUCCAGCGUGAACGCCUGCCAUGUGAGUGAGUGGCCUGUGCAUGUUCCUGUCUACAGCCACAUCAUGGCUAUGGCCUCCGAAAAAGUUCUAGGAGAUGCCUGAUUGGGAAGUUGUUUUGUUUUGCUUUGCUCAAAUAAAUGCUACUGAAUUAAACACACAAACAAACAAAAAACUCCAAAAAAUAACCGCUGAGCUACGAGCCACAGUCAGCCCCAGAACUGGGAGACACAGUUUUAAGCCUCUGGGUUGGAGCGUUCUCUUCUGCAGUCUACAACUGCAACAGAUUGUGGUCUCUGGAAUAUGGAGUGAUACACAGCAACACCUAAAAUGUAGCAAGGUCUUUGAGACAGGGUGAUGCAUGUUUAGGUUAUAAGGGCUUUGAAAAAAAUGUGUUACUGCAGGCUUGACAGCCACUGAGAAGUUUGCUGGCGAGGGCUUAGUGAUGUUAGGAAAAUGGUGUGACCCUUGUUCUGCAGUGAUAGAAAGCUUAGCGCCACAGUCACCCGGGGUGAGCUGGAAACUAGCAAACUCGCAUAAUGCACCGGUGGGCUUGGAUAAAGAGAUAAGAAUUCUAGACAGUAUUGACAGGGGCUUCCUUCCUCUCAGUUGUGUGAAAAGAAUAGAGAAACAUGAGUUUAAAAGGGAACUCUUUGAUUUUGGAUCGAAAUUUUAAAGAAAAUGUGAAGGAUCCUACACUUCUAGGUUUGAAAAUAAAAUGGUUUCUCAUCACUGUCCUUUCCACUUGAAAAAAAAAAAACAAAACCUUUUUCGUAAAUUAAGAAAUGGCCUUCAGACAAGAUCAAAACCAGGGUGGAAUUCUUUAAGAUCCUUUCUUGAGAUCUCAAAGAUCUAAGGUGAUGUUUCACAGACGCUUUCCACAAACAAAAGGUCCUCUAAUGAUCUCACAGGCAAACCUCACCGGAACUUCAUUAAAUUCUUAAGAGUAAGGUCAAUGUUUCAUAGCAGGCAAGGUUGCUGUCAUCAACAAGAUCUAGGAGAUGUAGCUAAUUGAGUGAGCCAACUAAAAUUCAAUGUUUUUAAGAAAAUUAUGUUGGCAAAAACACCACCAAGUUGGACUAAAAGAGGGAUAGAAACCAUACAAAGUAAAAAGAGGUGUUUCGACAACUACUCACCCUCAAAAAAAAAAAAAAUAUAUAUAUAUAUAUAAUGGACAGGAAUCCAGCUGAAUAAGAACUACUCAGCUGCAAAUCCCAGCUGUUUUUUUAUGUUUGAGAGAAGGAAAGGUGAUACGAAAGGAAGAAGCAAGAUCCCAUUGCCAUAGAAAAUCAUUCUCAAGAAAUAGAACUGCAUGCUCAUUGAUAACACCCAGCUACGUGAUGUGCAGCUCUGCUUCCCCACCUUUUGAUGGGAAUGUCCAUAAUGAUAGCCUGGUCCUGCCCCAUCACUGUCUGCUGGUACUCCAGGAACCACACACAGGAAGCUUCAUUCAUAGCUGAACGUGACCUAGAGGACAAGCUCCUGGACAUCAAGGCAUCUUGGACAAAGGGUUGAGUGUAUCUUGCCUGUGGAAGGUCUAUGAAUGGUAAUGGCCAGAAGGUGGACUGUGGAAUACUCUAUUGGCCAAAAAAGGCAACAUUUCUGGCUCUGCUUGCUGCUGCAGAACCUUGUCACUCUCCCAUCAAGAGUUGGAGUCUCUGCCCCGUUUCCUUGGACUGAUCGGACUUCAGGGCUGCAGUGGCUGGAUCGUGGCAGUGUCGCUGCAGGACUUCUGACAGAGCACCUCCUCCCCGCCUGCCUUCCACUCCCCCCGCCCCGCCCCGUUCUGCUUUAGUGUCCUGAGCAGCCCCGGAGGGAGCCUGGCUGCCCUGGAGCCACCAUGCUGGAGAAUCCACGCCGACAGCAAUGCUGAGAAAGCAGGAGAUACCGAAGGAGCCCCAGCCAAGCAGCUCCCAACUGUUUGAGCCUUACAAGGGCCAGCACUGGAUAAAUGAGGGAGUGCAGCUGCAGGUGGUACCAGCCCCAGCCGUGACCUGACUGUAGCCACCUAGGGCCCACACGUGCAGAGUUCCCGCUGCCUGCAAUCCUAUUCCCAAGUCGUCCCUCACCCAGCUCACACUUCACAGACACGGCAGCUUGCCCUUCACGUGGCCGACGUGUGCCAUUGCUUUGUGGGAUGUGUCUCAGCUGUCCUGUGACACACAUCCCUGGGACUGAUGAAUGUCUCUCCCAGCACCAGGUCGUUAGAACCAUGAAGCCAUACACAGUGUCUUUUCCGUUCGUUGUUACAUCCCCAGCCACCAGCAAGGAGACCAGCUUCCUCUAGAGACUCAAUAAAUGCUGUUUUGGAAGAAGUGAAAGACCAAGGAAUGAAAUUUGCUGAUCUCCAGUUUCCUCUACUAGAAAAACAAAGCAGAUAAUGACGGGUAUUGUGGUGGGACAGUUAUAAGGAGGACAUAAAUGGCAAGACGAUGUAUAUAGAAGCUCGACAUAACACAGUGACUACUGAACAGAGGUCAGUUCCCUUCCUCCCUGCCCUGGGCUGUCCGGCUGUACUCAGAGAAAUCCAGAACAGCAGGAAUGAUCACACCUUCCUCUUGUCUCCUUCUGCUUCCCUUACUCGGUCUUGCCAUCACCAACCUCAUUCAUUCAUCCUCAAACCUUUUCCCAAACCCCAUUCUGGGACGCUCUUUGCUGUGCCCUGUUCAAGGUAAUUGGACAAAGAGAGGGUAAGAGUCUGGGAAGAGCCUGGAGGGUGAAGCAGAGGCAGAGCAGGUGUCAAGGAUGUGGUGCAGCCGAGGGUAGAGAGAAGACAGGAAGCCCCAAGUGCAAGGCGCUGGGAACUGAAACUCCAACUCCAUACAAAGAAACCCCAGAUCCACGGACGGCUUAGAGAGGUGAGUGGGCGGAGUCUUGCGUGGGUUCCUUCUUUCAGAUAAGCAGCUUCCCACUCUGAAAUUAGGUGCGGAUCUGCCACAGAACUUCUCCACGCUUGGCUGUCAUUCAAAGCCAUCUUUCUUUUUGGCUCAAAUAUAAUAAACCUCAUCAGUGGCUAGGGGUUCACAAAGAUGGUAGGAUGGGAGAAAUUUUGAAAAUUUUUUUUAAAUUAUCAAUGUAGAGAGAGAUCGCUACAAUGUGAUAUGACUUCUAUACUUUUAUUUUAAAAAUUAAGGCAGAAUAUGAAUGAAUUACUAGGGCGGAGUUUUUUGGGGUGUCAGAGGGGUUGACGUUGGGAGUCUUAUCAGUCACAGAGGAGCUGUGGAGUAAGGAGGAGAAGGGUGCUGCCCCACUGUCCUCCUUCUCCCAUUUUGGUAAUAUUUGUCAAAGGCAUGCAAGAAACACUAAGUUAUGCCGCCUGUCCUCAUUUCAGGAACUCACAACAGUGACAGCUAGAUUGGUUUGUAUCCGUAUUUAGCAUGCCCCGAAGUCACCUCAGGUCCUUGUUUUCCAAGGCAGGCUAUGCAGGGCCAUCCCUACAGAGUCACAGAGUCUCUGAAGCAAGGAAUCUGGGGAGCAGACAUUGAGAAGCAUCCAUCAGAAAGACCCUGGCAUACAAGCUUCCAUCCACAGAGCCAACUGUAAUUGAUUGAGAGUGUCUGAUGGAGCCCUAGAUGGAGACAAACUCUGAGUCUGAACCCAUCGAUAGGUGAUGUCUGCAGCGAGCGGGAAAUGGAGAGUGGAGCCUUCUGUGUUGUGUGUUUCCCACCCGUACUCACGCAGUUCACUGAGCACACGUGUACAGAGCACCAGACCCACGAAGACUAAGAUCCAUGCAGCCCAUCCUGCGGGGUAACACGUGAGGAGGGACAUUCUGAAUCUGAAGGCGCGGCUUCCACAGAGGGCUGAGCACAGAGCUGUGAGCCAGGCCAGGGGAGGCUUUGCAGGACAGACAGAGAUGAAUCUUGGAGAUCCAUCCUUGGAGAGCAGAAGGAAAAUACGGCUGAGACAGAAAUGAUCACACAUGCAUAAGAGAAGGCCCUUUCCCGGAAUUAGGAGAUAUAAAUAUAUAUACACGUUAAUUGAGUGAAACGCAGAAUAUGUCAGGUCAAGUGGUAAGAGGCAAAGUUCCAAAGGUCAGACUCUCCCUCCUUAUAGCUAUAAUCAUCAGGGUCCCGGCCAGGCAUAAAUCAAAACAGAUCACGCAGCCGGCAUGAUCUUAGGAGAUUUUAUUGGCUGCAGAUUACCCUCCCAUAAAUGUGAAUCACCAGCCAAACACAAGUGCAAGGUUAUGCAAUAACUUCUUCAACCCACUCUCCUCCCUCACAACCAUAACCUUACAGGGAAAAACAACUCUGCUUCUUUGAACCUCACCUUGGUCCUGAGAGGGGUGAACCGCCCAAGCUUAAGAUCUUAAGCACCUGCAGCCUGUCUUGCUAACAAUGGAAGCAUCUUUCUCCCCUGUAGGAAAACUACAGGAGGCUUUGUUUACAAAGGGGCCAACUCCCUUGCCUGGAGGCAGCUUUGUUUAAUCAAAGCCCCCUAACCCCAGCAACUGGGAACAAAGGAAAGCCAUUAUGCAAACAACUGGUUCAAGGCCACCUAGACAACCCCCCACCCCAAGAUGGGCAGGGCGGUAGUAGGAUAUCGCUUCUCUGCAGGAGAAUUAAUGAAAUGAACAGAAGCUGAAUAUUAGAAAGCCUAGA